rnacentral:rRNA from 1 species
AGAACGAACGCUGGCGGCAUGCCUAAUACAUGCAAGUCGAACGAACUCUUCGGAGUUAGUGGCGCACGGGUGCGUAACGCGUGGGAAUCUGCCCUUGGGUUCGGAAUAACAGUUGGAAACGACUGCUAAUACCGGAUGAUGACGAAAGUCCAAAGAUUUAUCGCCCAGGGAUGAGCCCGCGUAGGAUUAGCUAGUUGGUGAGGUAAAGGCUCACCAAGGCGACGAUCCUUAGCUGGUCUGAGAGGAUGAUCAGCCACACUGGGACUGAGACACGGCCCAGACUCCUACGGGAGGCAGCAGGUAGGGAAUACGUGGACAAUGGGCAAAGCCUGAUCCAGCAAGUGCCGCGUGAGUGGACGUGAAGGCCGUUAGGGUUAGUAAAGUCUUACUUUUACCCGAGUAUGAAUAA